rnacentral:rRNA from 1 species
UACGGGGGGAGCAAGCGUUGUUCGGAUUUACUGGGCGUAAAGGGCGCGUAGGCGGUCGUGACAAGUCACUUGUGAAAUCUCCGGGCUUAACCCGGAACGGUCAAGUGAUACUGUCGGACUAGAGUACAGAAGGGGCAACUGGAAUUCUCGGUGUAGCGGUGAAAUGCGUAGAUAUCAGGAGGAACACCGAUUGCGAAGGCAGCUCGCUGGGACGUUACUGACGCUGAGACGCGAAAGCGUGGGGAGCAAACAGG